GUUAUCAGAUCGCUCGCAGUUUGUACAUGUUAACGAUGAAUCUUCAAUAAAUACUACAGUUAGUCAUGGAGUUCCACAAGGUUCUGUACUUGGACCAAUACUAUUUACUUUAUAUAUGCUCCCUUUAGGCAACAUUAUUAGGAAUCACUCCAUUAACUUUCACUGUUAUGCAGAUGAUACGCAGUUAUAUCUAUCAAUCAAGCCCGAUGAAAUUAAUCAAUUAUCUAAAUUACAAACAUGUCUUAAGGACAUAAAAUCCUGGAUGAGCUGCAAUUUUCUGAUGUUAAACUCAGAAAAAAACGAAAUUCUUGUUCUUGGCCCCAAAAACCUUAGAGACUCACUGUCUAAAGAUAUAGUUACUCUAGAUGGCAUUACCUUGGCCUCUAGCACCACUGUCAGGAAUCUUGGAGUUAUCUUUGAUCAGGAUUUGUCAUUUAACUCCCACAUAAAGCAGACCUCUAGGACUGCCUUCUUUCAUUUACGUAAUAUUACAAAAAUUAGACACAUACUAUCACAGACAGAUGCAGAAAAACUAAUCCAUGCAUUUGUGACUUCAAGGCUGGAUUACUGCAACUCUUUAUUAUCAGGUUGCCCCAAUAAGUCCAUUAAAACGCUCCAAUUAAUUCAGAACGCUGCAGCACGAGUACUGACAAGAACUAGAAAAAGAGAUCACAUCUCUCCUGUACUAGCUUCUCUGCAUUGGCUCCCUGUAAAAUGUAGAAUAGAAUUUAAAAUCCUCCUCCUCACCUAUAAAGCUCUUCAUGGUGAGGAGGAGUAUUUUAAAUUCAAUUCUACAUUUUAUAGGGAGCCAAUGCAGAGUAGCUAGUACAGGAGAGAUGUGAUCUCUUUUUCUAGUUCCUGUCAGUACUUGUGCUGCAGCGUUCUGAAUUAAUUGGAGCGUUUUAAUGGACUUAUUGGGGCAACCUGAUAAUAAAGAGUUGCAGUAAUCCAGCCUUGAAGUAACAAAUGCAUGGAUUAGUUUUUCUGCAUCUGUCUGUGAUAGUAUGUGUCUAAUUUUUCUAAUAUUACGUAAAUGAAAGAAGGCAGUCCUAGAGGUCUGCUUUAUGUGGGAGUUAAAUGACAAAUCCUGAU